rnacentral:rRNA from 1 species
AUUGAACGCUGGCGGCAUGCCUUACACAUGCAAGUCGAACGGUAACGGGCCUUCGGGUGCCGACGAGUGGCGAACGGGUGAGUAAUACAUCGGAACGUGCCCGAUCGUGGGGGAUAACGAGGCGAAAGCUUUGCUAAUACCGCAUACGAUCUACGGAUGAAAGCAGGGGACCGCAAGGCCUUGCGCGGACGGAGCGGCCGAUGGCAGAUUAGGUAGUUGGUGGGAUAAAAGCUUACCAAGCCGACGAUCUGUAGCUGGUCUGAGAGGAUGAUCAGCCACACUGGGACUGAGACACGGCCCAGACUCCUACGGGAGGCAGCAGUGGGGAAUUUUGGACAAUGGGCGCAAGCCUGAUCCAGCCAUGCCGCGUGCAGGGUGAAGGCCUUCGGGUUGUAAACUGCUUUUGUACGGAACGAAAAGCCUUCUUUUAAUACAGGAGGGUCAUGACGGUACCGUAAGAAUAAGCACCGGCUAACUACGUG